rnacentral:sRNA from 1 species
AGAAGACUUGAAUAGUUGAUACAUGCUUUAAAAAUUGAGUUGGCAUUCUAUGCUUGGUCUCAGAACCCUUGAUUUGUUCUGUCAGUCUCUACCUGGUGGCUUUACUGGGAGAUCAUGCAUCAAUUUGCAGGUUUGAAGAGUAUUGGUCGUAAACCAUAGAGGAAAGCAUGUAUCACGAGUCUUUGUAUUCCUAAAGAAACAUAUUAACAAGCAUCUCUUGGGGGGUAACAACAUUUGAAGGCCAUCUAUACUCCUUUAGUCUGAGAUAAUUGCUUACUUGCACGAAGCCGUGAUAUUGGAAUUUCUUUUAAUUCCCGCCUUAUACAUAGGUAUUCACCAAGAAGAGACAUAAUCGCCAAACCAGCAAUAUUAACAACCCACCAUGUAACUGAAGCUGGCCAUCCACCAUAAACAAUGCAAAUAAACAGAUGAAUGAUGUAGAGGGUGGCUGCAAAGUCCAGGCACUUCUUAGCUCUCUCAAUCACAUAAAGCAUGAAAGCAGCACUGCAAAAGCGAAAGCAUGAAAAGGCGGCGAUGACGCACCAUCCGGUGGUGGUGCGCGGGGUGAGCGUGGCGAAGUCGAAGAGGUAGAGGAGGGUGAGGCGCGGGACGCGGGUGCCGACGAGGAGCGCCAUGAGGAGGCCCAGGGCGAGGUAGUAGAGGCACUGCAGGCACACGAUCUGCGACACGAUCAGCCACGGAUCCCACACCAUCGCCCCAUAGAACAUCUUCUCCUCCUUCCUUCUCC